AUAUGUUGCUGAUUCUUCUUU
rnacentral:miRNA from 1 species